rnacentral:lncRNA from 1 species
AAUUUAUGUAGUCUACAGAAUAUCAUUCUCAUAGUUCUGUGAAAUGUUUAUCUGAGAAUGAGAAAAUAAAUGUAACGAAUGAGCUGGCGUGGUAAUUAAAUGAAACUACAGAAGUUAAAUAACUUGCCCAAAUUUACCAGCUAGUAAGUGUUUAACUAAGUUAUUGUUUGGGCAGGAUGGUUCCAGAAUAUGCUUUUAUUUACUGCUCUACUGCAAGAUUUCUCAACAUCAAUGCUAUUGGCAUUUUAGGACUUUCUUCACUUUUCCAAUGGGCUUCAAUUUUCAUCAAGGAACCUGAGAGAGUCCCUCUGUUGUUUUCUUCUGCUUUGUCUUCUGGAGCUCAGGACAAUGGACUUCAUGACACCCUCUGCCUCUGUGAUGUGGAUCCAGGUACCGGGGCAGCCAGGAGGCCAGAGGUGGGAAGAGAGGGUGCUGAGGUGGUGUGGCAGGUGCCCACUCCUUGCUUGAAGGCCUGGGGUGGGGGUGGGGCAGUGCCAAUGGUGGCACAUGUAGCUCAGCUCUACACAGCUCCUUAGUGCUUAAUUUUGGAAGUGACAUCUGAACAUAUCCUAGUCUAAAUUAUUGGACAUUCAAGAAAAUUUAACCAAAAUGGCAUAUUUUUGAAUUUUCA